rnacentral:lncRNA from 1 species
CCAGACCACUGGAAGACUCCCGCAGGAGUCUGGCACCCCGUGGGUGCUCACUGCACUCCCGGGGAGCCACUGUUUUGGUCAGGUCGGUUCUGGGAUUCUGCGUAGGGUGCAGGGUGGUCAUUGGAGAAAGGUCAGCCCUGCCUUCUGCUGCUGCAUCAGUCCAGUCCUCUGCCUCCCUUGGGGGGGCCAACAGGCCUUCUCACCCAUGCCCUGUCACCUGCUGGCCACAGCCUUCCCUUGGCAGCUCCUACCUACCGUCAGGUGGCAGAAAACCCCACAGAUUGAAGAAAGCUUCUCCACCUUUGGGAGCAACUCGACCCUGGAGUCCCAAGUCCCCAGUUUCCCUGAGAGACGGGACUGGGCUACCCCUCCUUGCAAGGCAGUGUGGUGUAGUAGAGGAGCCCACUAAGCUCCAGGGCCUGUGCUGGGUGCUAAUGUGGCAAGGAUGAGAGGAAGAAGACCUGGUCCCCGUGGUCCCCGCCCUCGCAGAGACAGGCGAGUGUGGCCUGUGCUGGAGAAGGAUGUGACCACGCCUGUGAUUGUGCAGUCUCCUCCUCAGAACUCUGGGAGUGUUUUUAAGGACCUUUUCUCACCUCAUUGCUCCAAGUGUGCAGCUUUUCCUGUGUGCCCCAGCGGGAGAGCAUGUGGCCUCCACCCGGACACCUGUAGUCUUUGUGUUUCUCUUCCACGGAGCGGCGGCCGGGAGCUCAGGAGAACCACGUGCAAAAUGGAUUGACGGGCUCCAGCUCAGAAAUGAAAGGUCUGGACCUUGCUCACGGGGUCCCUCAUCACAGACUGCGUGAGAAGUACUGCAGUGGGGAUGGGACCCUCGGGGGUAGAGAAGGAAGUCAUCUCUAGCAUUGAGAGAACUACGAACAAAACGUCAUGAAAGUCAGAAGGGCGAGCUUGCUGCCGACCAGCGGUGAUGAGCAGGGACCCUAGCCUGAGGAUGCGGAGUGAAGAGGUCCAAAGGCAUCUGACCCAGAGAGCAGAGAGUAAGCAAAGAGUGGCCGUGUGUGUCCCACGGCUCAGGCUGGACUCCACACCGUCACUGUCACUGGCUCAGGGCCCAUGUGAGAAGACAGCCCUGUCACAGGGGGAAUACCCAGGUCGCUUGGUGCCAGGAAGUCUGGUGUGUGGUGCCAGCUGUUUGCAGGAGUAGACUGGGAACACCAGCUGCCUGGCAACUGGAGAUCCAGGCCCGGGAAAGCUGCAGAGAAACCGCCUGUCCCCAGGGAGGCGAGCCUGGGGUGCCUCUUGCGUUGGAAGAGGAGCUCCAGGUCCCAGCUGGCUCCAGGUCCAAGCAACACAGAGUGAGCCUGUGUUUGUAGAUUACCUGCUCCUUCACCGUAAAGACACAGUGAGUCUGCAGAGCUCCUCAGCAACUUGGAUGGGAGCCAUGAAGACUCCCCCAAGGGUGCGGUUUGCUCCUCUGCGGCUGACUCACGCCCUCCUGCUGUUCCCCUCAUCUUCUCGAUGCCGUUUUCUCGUUUUCUCACUGGCAGUAAUGCAGCUCUUUCUGUGAGCUGCUCCUUUUAAAGCUAGAUUCCAUCUCUUAUUUUUGCUGUGACCCCAGACGAUUAUGCUAACUAUAAAUAUUUU